rnacentral:rRNA from 1 species
GAUGAACGCUAGCGGCAUGCCUUACACAUGCAAGUCGAACGGCAGCACGGGAGCAAUCCUGGUGGCGAGUGGCGAACGGGUGAGUAAUAUAUCGGAACGUGCCCAGUCGUGGGGAUAACGUAGCGAAAGCUACGCUAAUACCGCAUACGAUCUAUGGAUGAAAGCGGGGGAUCGCAAGACCUCGCGCGAUUGGAGCGGCCGAUAUCAGAUUAGGUAGUUGGUGAGGUAAAGGCUCACCAAGCCGACGAUCUGUAGCUGGUCUGAGAGGACGACCAGCCACACUGGGACUGAGACACGGCCCAGACUCCUACGGGAGGCAGCAGUGAGGAAUUUUUGGACAAUGGACGCAAGUCUGAUCCAGCCAUGCCGCGUGCAGGAUGAAGGCCUCGGUGUAAC